ensembl:lncRNA
CUAAAGUGAAAUAACAUUACCUCUCUCAUUACAGCAUAGUUUGACAUAAGAAAAAUGAACAAGACAAUGUCACUCGGACUAUCCUGCUGUCUCAGGACAUUAGAGAGAAAACGAGGGAGAGCAAUAUAGAGAAAUGAGGGAGAGUGGAGGAGGACAGAAGAAAGGAGGAGGAGGACAUUAGCCCAUUGUGGAUUGUUGACUAUUCAGGGAAAGCUUUGGGACCCAGCAUGUUUUAUUGUUAACGGUUCAGUAGCUUCCAAGGGAGCGUACAGGACUUUAAUCACUGCUUUUCAGUCUCUCCAACACCCGAGGAUGGUUGGGGGCCUGCAGGAUAAAAGCAAAGAGGUGCAGCCUUGCCCUUCUUAAGGGCUGAUUUAGCUGGUUUUGCUCUCCCAUCGAGCAUUGUGCAACAUCAAAAAAAAGACAAAUGUGUGUUUACCAGGAGGGAAAAGUGGUAAAAAGAGAACGGGAAGGAGAGAGGGAGAGAACAGUUUAUUUUGUGUGUCAUGGUGACUCAGGCCCCUAGUUCCAAUAUGGGCAAAUAGGACAGUAGAUAAAUCACAUACUGUAACUAGGAGCAACAGCACUAGUGAUCAGGAAAGAGAGAGCUAUAGGGGUUCCAUGUAGAGAAGUUACUUACUAUCUCUUCCUCCAAGUCAAGCUAUAGGACUAGAGGACAUUCCUUAAAUUACAAGGACCUUCAUCCCAGCAACAGUGGGCCCUUUGUUGACCCCCUGAGCCCAGCAUCGAGGCCCCGGGCUUAGCUAGGAAGCGGCUGAACACUUGCCUAGUUUAUAUGUGACACUAAUAUGUGUCCUUCGACCUGAUCUUGUCCACAUUCUGGUUGUGCCCACAUUUUCAUAAUUAUGUCUACACAUGGUAUUAAAAUGUGUCUCGUGUCUGUCCACAGUGGCAAUUGGUGUCAGUAUGCUGUGAUUGCUGGUGUGAGGGAUUGAGAUGUUUGGUGUACUGUCGAGCUUACAUAAAUGGUUCUCUACCACGCC